CAUCAGGGCUAUGGGACUCAAUUCAUCAGGGGUAUGGGACUCAAUUCAUCAGGGGUAUGGGACUCAAUUCAUCAGGGGUAUGGGACUCAAUUCAUCAGGGCUAUGGGACUCUACAAGGUGUCUAAAGCGUUCCACAGGGAUGCUGGCCCCAUGUUGACUCUCAUUCUAGACUCUAUCCGAUACCUAGGAAAUAUAGAUCUAUGAAAUUAUAGCCUAGAUCUCCAAAGGGAACUUGGGAGUACUGUCUGGUCUGGUAAGGGUACAUCUAGCUGGGAAUAUAUAUAGUGCACUACUUUAGACCAGAGCCCUAUUCCCUAUAUAGUGCACUACUUUAGACCAGAGCCCUAUUCCCUAUAUAGUGCACUACUUUAGACCAGAGCCCUAUUCCCUAUAUAGUGCACUACUUUAGACCAGAGCCCUAUUCCCUAUAUAGUGCACUACUUUAGACCAGAGCCCUAUUCCCUAUAUAGUGCUACUACUAUAGACCAGAGCCCUAUUCCCUAUAUAGUGGUACUACUUUAGACCAGAGCCCUAUUCCCUAUAUAGUCCACUACUAUAGACCAGAGUCCUAUUCCCUAUAUAGUGGUACUACUUUAGACCAGAGCCCUAUUCCCUAUAUAGUCCACUACUAUAGACCAGAGCCCUAUUCCCUAUAUAGUCCACUACUAUAGACCAGAGCCCUAUUCCCUAUAUAUGGUACUACUAUAGACCAGAGUCCUAUUCCCUAUAUAGUGCACUACUUUAGACCAGAGCCCUAUUCCCUAUAUAGUGCACUACUUUAGACCAGAGCCCUAUUCCCUAUAUAGUGCACUACUUUAGACCAGAGCCCUAUUCCCUAUAUAGUGCACUACUUUAGACCAGAGCCCUAUUCCCUAUAUAGUGCACUACUUUUGACCAGAGCCCUAUUCCCUAUAUAGUGCACUACUUUUGACCAGAGCCCUAUUCCCUAUAUAGUGCACUACUAUAGACCAGAGCCCUAUUCCCUAUAUAGUGCACUACUGUUGAACAGAGCCCUAUUCCCUAUAUAGUGUACUACUUUAGACCAGAGCCCUAUUCCCUAUAUAGUCCACUACUUUAGACCAGAGCCCUAUUCCCUAUAUAGUCCACUACUUUAGACCAGAGCCCUAUUCCCUAUAUAGUGCACUACUUUAGACCAGAGUCCUAUUCCCUAUAUAGUCCACUACUUUAGACCAGAGCCCUAUUCCCUAUAUAGUCCACUACUUUAGACCAGAGCCCUAUUCCCUAUAUAGUGGUACUACUUUAGACCAGAGCCCUAUUCCCUAUAUAGUGGUACUACUUUAGACCAGAGCCCUAUUCCCUAUAUAGUGGUACUACUUUAGACCAGAGCCCUAUUCCCUAUAUAGUGGUACUACUUUAGACCAGAGCCCUAUUCCCUAUAUAGUGCACUACUUUUGACCAGAGCCCUAUUCCCUAUAUAGUGCACUACUUUUGACCAGAGCCCUAUUCCCUAUAUAGUGCACUACUAUAGACCAGAGCCCUAUUCCCUAUAUAGUGCACUACUGUUGAACAGAGCCCUAUUCCCUAUAUAGUGUACUACUUUAGACCAGAGCCCUAUUCCCUAUAUAGUCCACUACUUUAGACCAGAGCCCUAUUCCCUAUAUAGGUGCACUACUUUAGACCAGAGCCCUAUUCCCUAUAUAGUCCACUACUUUAGACCAGAGCCCUAUUCCCUAUAUAGUGGUACUACUUUAGACCAGAGCCCUAUUCCCUAUAUAGUGGUACUACUUUAGACCAGAGCCCCCAUAAGGAAUAGGUGGUCAUUUGAGACUCACCCAUUCCCUCUUUAGUUUCUACGUUUCGUUCCGUCCUCUGAUUCGGUAACAGGAAAGAAACCGCUCCAACGAUCCACCACGGAAGUCCCUCCCCCCUCUGUGUGAAAGAAAGGUCGUCUUCUUCAUUCACCGGUCUUAUCGUUGUUUCUUAUAAUAAUAGUUUUGUUUUUAACUUUCUCAUCAAGACAGCGAGUGAUUGUGUUAGUUGUGUCUGUGCACCCCAAGGUCUGUGCAGAGUAAAACAAUGAAACGAAAAGGGAUGGGGGCUGUCUGUUAUAGAGCUUAUGGACAGUUACAUAUGCAGUGCCUUCGGACAGUAUUCACACCCCUUGACCUUGUUCUACGUUUUGUCUUAAAGAUGUAUUUUUUUGUGUCACUGGCCUCUAACACACCACAAUCAUAAUGUCAAAGUGGAAUUAUGUUUUUAGAAAUGUUUACAAAAUGAUUUAUUUUUUAUUUUUAAAAAGGGAAAAGCUGAAAUGUCUUGAGUCAAUUUUAGUUUUCAACUCCUUUGUUAUGUCAAGCCCUAGAUAAGUUCAGGAGUAAAAAAUGUGCUCAACAAGUCACAUAACAAGUUGGCGUGGACUCACUCUCUGUGUGUAAUAAUAGUGUUUAACGUGAUUCUCUGUACCCCACACAGACAAUUAUCUCUAAGGUCCCUCAGUCGAGAAGAUGUAGUGCAUUCGGACCCGUUGAUUUUUUUCUCUCCACAUUUUGUUACGUUACAGCCUUGAUCAUCCAUUCUACAACUUGAUUGGAGUCCACCUGUGGUAAAUUGAAUUGAUUGGACGUGAUUUGGAAAGCACACACCUGUCUAUAUAAUGUCCCACAGUUGACAGUGCAUGUCAGAGCCAAGGACAAUCCAUGAAGUGUAAAGCUGUCGUCAAGGUAAAGGGUGGCUACUUUGAAGAAUCUCAAAUAUAAAAUAUAUUUUGAUUUGUUUAACACUUUUUUUUUUGGUCACUACAUGAUUCCAUAUGUGUUAUAUCAUAGUUGUGAGGUCUUCACUAUUAUUCUACAAUGUAGAAAAUAGUAAAAAUAAAGAAAAACCUUUUGAAUGAGUAGGUGUGUCCAAACUUUUGACUGGUACUGUAUGUAUUCUUGGCUGAGUAGCCUGGACUGCGAAUGCAACUUGCCGAC
ensembl:lncRNA